rnacentral:misc_RNA from 1 species
GAUGAAGAACGUAGCGAAAUGCGAUACUUGGUGUGAAUUGCAGAAUCCCGUGAACCAUCGAGUCUUUGAACGCAAGUUGCGCCCGAAGCCAUUAGGCCGAGGGCACGCCUGCCUGGGCGUCACACGUCGUUGCCCCCCCAUCUAAUCCUUCGGGAUUGCGGGGGGCGGAUGAUGGCCUCCCGUGCGCCUCGUCGCGCGGUUGGCAUAAAUGCCAAGUCCUCGGCGACGCACGCCACGACAAUCGGUGGUUGCGAAACCUCGGUUGCCCGUUGUGUGCGGUCGUCGCGCAUCGAGGGCUCGAAAAAAUUGCCGGGCUCCGGCUCGACUUUCAACGCGACCCCAGGACAGGCGGGGUUACCCGCUGAAUUUAAGCAUAUCAAUAAGCGGAGGA